GGCUGGAGGUUGGUCUGGCUGCAACAUCUGUCACCCCAUUGAGGGCCAGGCUUGAUUCAUAUGAUCUGACUGGCUAGGAAAGUGUUCCCUUCCUCUCUCACCACUCCAUGUACAUCCUUCCUGAAGGUGCACACUUGUUCAAAGAGGAGGACUUUUCCCAACUGGAGCAGGACAAAUCCUCAGUCAUGUGUAUACAAGUAGCUGCACUCCCCUGCUAGAACCUCCACACAAGCUCUCAAGGGUAUCUUUUAUUGUGUGACUUCACACAAUCCUCACUCUCAAGGCACUCCUCUU
rnacentral:snRNA from 1 species